UUACAGGCCUACUUCUGGAACUGUUAGCUGUCCAAUUUGUAUGGAUGGAUAUACAGAGAUUGUCCAGAGUCGUCGCAUUGUGGUGUCUACAAAAUGUGGUCACAUCUUCUGCAGCCAGUGCCUUCGUGACUCUCUGAAAAAUGCUAACACUUGUCCGACUUGCAGAAAGAGGCUAAAUCACAAACAGUACCAUCCUAUAUAUAUUUGAUUAGAGCCUUUGAUUACAGAUGGCAUAAUAAAAAAGACUGUGUAGAUAGGUUGUAGUUUGCUGUAUUUUUUUUUUUUAUUUUGUACUGGAUGGUUAAAAGAAAAUCUUACAAUUUUGCUUGCAUUAAAGUGUGAGAGUUUCACAAGGAAAAGCUGUUGGAACACACAUGUAUUGGGGAUAGUUUUUAUCUGAAUACAUUACAGCCUGUUAUAUUUUAAUUUCCCAUUUUACAGGUCUGUAAAUGAGACUAUAAAAUGGAAUUUAGAUAUGCAUAUUUUCUGAAUUUUUUAAGAAUGCAAAAUAAUUUAUACACUGUAGUGAAAAGCAUUCUCAUUUUAUGUGAGGUGUUGGAAUAGAAUUGUACAUUGAUUGAUGUCAGAACUUCAGACAACAGAUGCUUUGCAAGUCUUGUAUUUUUCAUUACACUUUAAAUUAAAAAAAAUAACUUAUAA